rnacentral:rRNA from 1 species
ACGGGGAGCAGCAGGCGCGAAACCUUUACACUGCACGCCAGUGCGAUAAGGGAAUCCCAAGUGCGCAGGCAUAGAGCCUGCGCUUUUGUACACCGUAGGGAGGUGUACGAAUAAGGGCUGGGCAAGACCGGUGCCAGCCGCCGCGGUAAUACCGGCAGCCCGAGUGAUGGCCGAUCUUAUUGGGCCUAAAGCGUCCGUAGCUGGCCGCACAAGUCCAUCGGAAAAUCCACCCGCCCAACGGGUGGGCGUCCGGUGGAAACUGUGUGGCUUGGGACCGGAAGGCGCGACGGGUACGUCCGGGGUAGGAGUGAAAUCCCGUAAUCCUGGACGGACCGCCGAUGGCGAAAGCACGUCGCGAGGACGGAUCCGACAGUGAGGGACGAAAGCCAGGGUCUCGACCGGAUUAGAUACCCGGGUAGUCCUGGCCGUAAACAAUGCCUGCUAGGUGUGGCUCCCGCUACGAGCGGGCGCUGUGCCGUAGGGAAGCCGCUAAGCAGGCCGCCUGGGAAGUACGUCCGCAAGGAUGUAACUUAAAGGAAUUGGCGGGGGAGCAC